UGAGGUAUCCUAUGAUCAUUUUGGUCAAGGGGAUGAAUUAUAUGAAAACUAUAUCCGCAUGGGUUCUAAGGAUGUUGUUCUACACAUUCGACCUAUCCGAUCGUCGAGUACCAUUGCUAGAUGGUCACUUUGAUUGGUAUAAGAAUUUAUUCCUGUACUAUCGGCUUAGGUUAGGACCUAUGAGGUCACACACAUUAGAGUUCAUGAUCCGAUCGGAUGGUUGAUCAACGAUUAAGAAUCGUUUUAGGGUUAAAUGAUCAAUACGAUUGACAUUUAACCCAGUGCAAGUGUUGCAGAAGGAUCGAUUAGCAAUUCGAUUGCUAAUUGGCUUAAUUUGAUUAAGUCAAUGGGAUAAGAUUAAGUCUAAUUAAAUAUAAUUUAAUUAGAUUUAGUUU
rnacentral:lncRNA from 1 species